rnacentral:rRNA from 1 species
GUGCCAGCAGCCGCGGUAAUACGUAGGUGGCAAGCGUUGUCCGGAUUUACUGGGUGUAAAGGGCGUGUAGGCGGGUUAUUAAGUCUGAUGUGAAAUACCGAGGCUCAACUUCGGGGCUGCAUUGGAAACUGAUAAUCUUGAGUGCAGGAGAGGAAAGCGGAAUUCCUAGUGUAGCGGUGAAAUGCGUAGAUAUUAGGAGGAACACCAGUGGCGAAGGCGGCUUUCUGGACUGUAACUGACGCUGAGGCGCGAAAGCGUGGGGAGCAAACAGGAUUAGAUACCCUCGUAGUCC